rnacentral:rRNA from 1 species
UACGGAGGGUGCAAGCGUUAUCCGGAUUCACUGGGUUUAAAGGGCGCGUAGGCGGCCUUCUAAGUCGAACGUGAAAUCCCUGGGCUCAACCCAGGAACUGCGUCCGAUACUGGGAGGCUUGAAUCCGGGAGAGGGAUGUGGAAUUCCAGGUGUAGCGGUGAAAUGCGUAGAUAUCUGGAGGAACACCGGUGGCGAAGGCGGCAUCCUGGACCGGUAUUGACGCUGAUGCGCGAAAAGCCAGGGGGAGCAAAACGGGG